rnacentral:lncRNA from 1 species
CAGCUAAGGUAUGAAGGCGUCUGGCUCACGCCUCCUGCAACCAAAGCGUCUCCUUCGUCAGCCACUUGCCGUGCAAUGUCACAAGCAGCUUCGUUGACUUUCUGCCCCUAAAGUGGCUUGUCUUCACUUGCAUAGAAAGUGAAGGUCUGCAUGACGUUCGAUCCAGCUCUGAGGAACUCCCGAUGAAGCUGACGAACUGAGAGCACACAAGCAAAGCCAUGAUGCCACUCAUCCACCAACCUGCAAAACCAUGUCACUCAUCCAUCCAUCAACCUACAAAGCCAUGGUGUCACUCAUCCAUUCACCAACCUGCAACACUUUCAAGAGGCUUAGGGGUUAACAAACACCAAAAUGGCCGGUCCAGCUGCUUGUCAUUUGCAUGUCUGGGCCUAAGGAGAGGGAAAUCUGGGUCUCCUGGAACCUUCCUCAAAGCUGUCAUGACAGAUAGCUGGAUGAUUAGAGUGGACAGGGCUCAUGGUGCUGCAUUCCCCACCCCUCUCAGGCUCCCUGUGUUCUUGGUUUAGUUUGCUCAUCUUGGAACGUACUAGCAGGAGGGGGAGCUUUCUGUUGUCUUGUCCUUGGAAAAUGUCAUGACCCACCAAGGAUAUCUGACCAAAGUGCCAUGUGGGUGGGCUCUGCAUGAGCUGCUCUCUAAUGGGAAGAGAAGCCAUUGGGCCGCAAGCUGAAGGAUUCCAGGUUCUCACUGGGUGGAGGCGAGGAAGAGCAGUCCCCGCAGUGGAACAACCUUAGCAAACACAAAGUAGCAUCAGGUUUGGCAUUUGGGGAAAUGACAGGAAUCUACCUGGGACAUUGAAGGGAUGUUGGAAAGGUAGUAGGCGAUACAGUUGAAAAGAGGACCUUAGAGCAGAGGACGAAUGGCCUACUAGCCUGGUACCCACAGUUCGUGCUCUGAAUCUUAGGUGGUAGCUGGGAUUAACCCAGUGGCUUUUGCUUGGUUUUUAAUUUAAUUUAAUUUUUUUUUUUUUUUUGCUUAUUCACUUUACAUCCUGCUCACUGUCCCCCCCCCACCCCCCCAACUCUUCCAUCACUUCCUCUCCUAACCUAGUGCGCUUUUUGCUUGUUCUUUUGAGAAAGAAUCCUGUGGCACUUUGACUGAGAAUGCCCCCCACAAUCUCAUGUUUGAAUACUUGGCUUCCAGUCGUUGGAACUAUUUUAGGAAGGAUUGAGAAGUGUGGCUUUGUUGGAGGAAGUGUAUCACUGAGGGCUGGUUUUGAGAUGUAAAAGGACUCUCCCCAUGUUGGGAGUUCACUUUGCCACCUUCAUGUGAUAUCUGAGCCCCAGCUGCCGCUCCAGCUUCUGCCGCUGCUCCCACUAUAAGCCCUGAAUGAAUGGCAAGUGCAAAC